GAUAUUGGAGGGCAAGUCUGGUGCCAGCAGCCGCGGUAAUUCCAGCUCCAAUAGCGUAUAUUAAAGUUGUUGCGGUUAAAAAGCUCGUAGUUGGAUCUCAGCUCACGCUAAGUGGUCCACUUAAUGGUGGUUACUACUUAGCUGAGCAUUUUACAGAUUUGUCUCUUGAUGCUCUUCACCGAGUGUCAAGAGUGGUCUGUACGUUUACUUUGAAAAAAUUAGAGUGCUUAAAGCAGGCAACUCGCCCGAAUAAUCUUGCAUGGAAUAAUGGAAUAGGACCUUGGUUCUAUUUUGUUGGUCUCCGGAAUCUGAGGUAAUGAUUAAGAGGGACAGACGGGGGCAUUCGUAUUGCGCCGCUAGAGGUGAAAUUCUUGGACCGGCGCAAGACGAACUACAGCGAAAGCAUUUGCCAAGAAUGUUUUCAUUAAUCAAGAACGAAAGUUAGAGGUUCGAAGGCGAUCAGAUA
rnacentral:rRNA from 1 species